UCACAUAAAAAUGUUACAGCAACCAGGUUCAUCUGUUCAAAUCAAACAGAAAAAAAUGACCGCCCAAUACACUAAACUCACGCUAUACGUAGGAUCCGAGGAAGAUUCGGACCACAAGGGUCUAUUGUAUGCAGCCUUACCUACAUUUAUGCAAGAGGCUAUUUCCACGGCUUGAACCCAUAACCUCCUGGUUACAUGACAGCAACUUUACCAGUUAUUGUAACAUUAUUGCAACUCAUUAAUGAAUUAAAUGAAUCGAACUAAGAUUGGAUAAACCAAAAUAAAUAUAGGACAACUGGAAGACCGAGAUUCCUCUAGAUAGCAUGACAUACGGCUUGGUAUGUGUCUAAAUAAGGUGUAAAAAUCCAAUCGAUCAAAAUUAAACUCAAAGUUCCUUAAAUACGCAUAAUUUGAAGAUUGAAAAUACUCCAUUUAUCUUUUAUCGAUGCUAGCCUCCCCUUUGAGUAGAAACCUUGCAUUUUGAAACCAGAAAACAUCCAGCUAGAGCUAGCUUUAAAAGUGUGUAUUCUUCUUGCAUAAUUGCCACGUGCAAAUACCAAAUUUAUCUUUCGAUCUUACUUGCUCACCCGAAUUUUUAUUCAAAAGAAACUAUCAACAUCCGCAUUCUUAGAGCAAGACCACAGAGAACAGUGAAUUCACCAACCAAAAAUAAAAGAACGCCAGUGAAAACCCAUAGGGUUUUAUCCUCAUCCAAGAGGCCCUAAAGUGCAAUAGUAGCAAUGAACUUGUUUUGAAUAAUCUUAAUUGGGGACUAUUGAGCCAUUUUAUCGACAGUUAAAUGGUGAUUAUUCACUAAGAUUAGUUCCCAGAAUUAUAAGUAGAAUACAAACACGAGAUAGAGUUAAUAUGAAGAGUCAUUACACAGAGAAACCAUCGGCCAACAGAGUUCCACCCAGAUAACAAGAUCCUAUACUACAAAAAGUUAAAAGAGUGGUUAUGUUCGGGUUGUUUGGGGGGGGGGGGGGGGGUUAAAGAUCAUGGGUUUAUGUGAUAAUUAGUUCUCUGCGCCUUGUUUGGUAUGCGCAGUACCCAGAAAAUAUGGACUGUCAUCACAGGUCAGCAGAGAAAGUAAAUACAACAUGAGUACAUGACUAUGAUAUCCAAAAUCAAGUUCACAGUUAAUAAGCAGGCAGCCUAAUUCAACCCAUACACAGACAACGCUAACUCACUCAACAAUCGUCGUAACAAAUAAGGGAUGAAAACUAUAAUUAUGUUCAUACACUUCUCUCGUAAAGAAAAAUUAACAACAAUGUAACAAAAAGCAUUAUUCAACAGUUUCCUUGGAUGAGCAAAUACUCUUUAUGCCGCGAAUCUAAAAGAGCACCAAAGACAUGAAAAAAUAAAAAGGGACAACGACCAGUGAGCUAUAUACUACAGGGACAUACUAUACAAGAAGGUAUGAGACAACAUUUCUAAUUAUACACCCUGCCCUAGGAAAAUAUCUCAACACAGUUUUGAGUUCAACCUGACAUUUUACCCAAGAAGGAAAAAGGAAAAUAAGAGAAGAAACCUGAUUAUUUUGGAAAAGAAAACCUGAUAUUGUCUGCAGUAGUUAGCAUUUCUCAACAAAAAAAAAAGUUAGUUUAUUCUCAUAAUAACCCUGAGAAAACAUUAAACAAAUCGAUACUGCAUACCUAAAAUUAGUCCACUUGGUGGCCAAAACAUUAGUUAUCUCCGUUUGACCUGCAGAUAACAGAUUCAAAUUGGCAAGGGUAAUGAAAGUUUUACAAGCACAGAUAUCAAUGACAAGCAAUAUCACGGUAAGCUGGACCAUGAGAUACCCAAAUCAUGCAAACUUCUCAGCAUCUGCACAGAGGGUUCGACUGAGAGACAUCCAAUUGAAAGUCUAAUUCCAACCUCUGGAUCACGAGAGAUACCAAUUUAGAGCCUUCGCAGCUCUGCCAAAACUUCCUUGUCACCUCCUAGAAUGCACCCAUUCUUGCAGAAAGACUUGUCUAUACAAUUCAACCGCGCAUUAGACCCUCAUGUCAAUAUUAAGCAUCUUUUUCCAAGGAAAUAACACGUGGACUAAACUCAGGGGCCGGGAAAAAUCUCUCCUAUCAUCUUCAAACCUGUCUAUGUGGCACAUAGCCAGCCCCAACCUGAAUAAAGGAUAAGUACUGAGUAGAUUGAUGGCCUACAAGGAUUCCCCUGAAUACUGCAUUCGGCUCUUGAAGUAGGCCUAAACAGAGUGGAAUGGUGGAUGACUUAUAUAAUCGACAACGACCAUUCUAAGAGGCAUAAUUGAUAUCAUCCUCAACCGGAAAUUAGGUUCUUCAAGAAUGAGUCAGGAGAAGUAGUCUCAAAUAUAAAGAAAAUUCCUUAAUGUCACUAAACCAGUAAUAAUAUAAGACAUUCCACUCAUGUGCAAAGUUCGAUGUAUCACUGACUAGGAGAGAUUGUCAAAGAUUUAGGCCAUAGCUAAUCUACUAACAUUAUUCAAUAGAUCCCAUCCUGUCACAACCAUGCUUAAAAGGCUUAAUCCUGUUUCAGUUUCUAACCACUAAUUUCUUUUUUCUACCAUGUUUUUUUUUUUGGAGAAUGGUAAUGAUUUCUUCUACCAUGGUUCCAUUCUGAAAUUAAUUCAAAAAGUUUUUUAUGAUGCAUUUAUAAUAGCCUAUGCGUUGCAAAUAAAGAACAUCCUAUGCCCGAUUGACUACUAUACUGGGAGAUAAGACUGAUAUUGAAAGAGGUUUUCCUAUAUGGUUGUGAGAUCAUUUUGAUUUAGUGUUAUAAAUCAAAUGUGUUGGAAUAUUGAAAGGAUGGGAGACAGGAAAUACAAAAGAACAUACUUGCAGUUAUAUACCCCAAUACUACACUCUGAACAACAAUGAUGCACAUUAUGCACUACAUCAGCCUACAUGUUUUCACAGGGCUAAGUCAUAUUCCACUCCUAAACAGUUCAGUCAUUACAUGAUGCCACAAGCUUGUCAUAUGACUCAUAUACCAUGGAAGGCCUGUAGAAUAUAGAUUAAUCAAGCUAUCUGGUCAAACAUAAACUACAAGUACCUCCUAGUCAAACCGGCCGAUCCUUUUGCAUGAUAUCUCAUCCACUCAAAACAACUACAUACAGAUCGAGCAACCGAGCAGGCAGAAAGCAACACCCUCAUUAAAGUUAAAUGACCUAAAUCUUCAGAGAAAUUAAAUUUAAGCCAAAGAUGAACAUUAGUGAUCUAGUGCUUUAUCUCAACCAUCUUGAUGAGCAUUCAUUCUUGGGAUAAUCCAAAAGAAUGAGUCUACAUCAAGUAGCGAUGAUUCGUCACCUAUAUUAGCAGAUUGACACAAUUACAACUUAAAAGCUAUUUUUUUACAAGGUAAGGUAAUUGUAUAACUUAUAAGCUAUUGCAGUAACGCCAACCUAACUAUCUGCACAAAUUAAAGUGUAAGGGCCUGACAGCAUCUCGCCAAAAAAAAUCCACCCAAAGAAAAACCUCCCUAGCAUAUUCCAGGUAUUCAUCAUAUCAAGCAUGGAAACAGCUGUAUGAACUUAUUUAUAGCACAGAUGAUCCUUCAAAAGCAUUACCCUUGAAAUCUUAUGAGAUCUUGAGCAAAAUAAAUGCAGAAGCAUAGCUCAUCUAGAUUCACUCUCAUGAAAUCAAGACCAAAACGUUAAGCAUCAGCCCCAUGUUCACUUCACAAGAAACUAUUUACAAGCAAGGAAAAUGGGUGUGUGUUCACAAAUUUGAUAUUAAAGCUAACUUGAUCAAAAUGUUUUCAGAUUUCAAUUUCCUAUCUAUUUUGUACCAAAAAGAAGACUAUGUUGCUCGGAGUUAUGUUUACUUGUAUCCUCUACAGUUUUCUUUUUUGACAAGGUGUCCACUUGAACUUUCUUUUCUGUUUUCCUUUUUGCUUGUUUAGGAUCCCUUUAGAAGCAGGGGAUUUUCCAGUCAAAGACCGGCAGUUAUUACACCAUGCAAGAAGACGUUACAGAGGAGGAGUUAAAAUAGAGGUUUAAAAAUUGAACCUGUUAGGAAAUGGAAACUACAUGACCCUAGCACAUAUAUCCGGUCUCUACUUUGGUACAUUUAACAGUUAGCCGUCACUCUGAAGCUGUUCAGCAGGUAUCAGCCACAAGAAAGGCGAUUUACCAAUAUAAGAAGAAUCCUAGCGAUACAGCUCUAAUUAGCCUUUAGUAGCAUGAAAUGCUAAAAUUGGUCUCGCUGCAGUAAAUAACUAGUGGAACUAUACCAUUAUUAUUUUCAACUCUAAAGCAAUCAAUUCUCUGGUGAAAUGUUAGUCUGAACUUUUAACAUUUAACUGAUCAAUUUCUUACUUAAUGACUAUAACUUGAGACAACUGUUCUCUUUUCCUGAUGCAUAAUAGGCAGUCAAUCUUACAAGUGCAAUCUUUCAUUCAUAGGCAAAAUGAUUAGGUAGUAACCUCCGGACCUAGUUCUACUUAGGCAUUGAGAGGAGUUUAAUGGAUUUUCGACUAAGUAUAACACAUAUAACUAGUAAUGUUCUGGAAAAAAAAGAAGAAGAGUGGAACAACCAGUACAAGCCUACAUGAAGAAACAAGUAAGUGCUUGGAUGUCCAUGCUAUUCUAUUUUUGACUUCUAAAAGCUAGUAGUCUUUAAAGCAUCAUCUAAUCAUAAUCCAAUUAACUUCUAAACCUAUUUCUACCUGCAACGCUGAUGUUUUUGCCAAUUAGCAUUUGAUGGGAAGCUUAUUUUUCGCAAAAUUGACAAGUACACGAGACCCUGCCAAAGCUAUAUAAUAAACAGGUAAUUUAAUCAAACAGACAGCUUUUAUACUAGGACAACAAAACACAAUCACAAAAUUUAUUUCACAAAAGAUCAAUUCAUAUACACAAGCUUGUAAAUAACUAGGCAUGUAACUGUACAUUGCACACAAUGAGAACCUCUUGCAACUAUAUGUGAGAAAUUAGAUAAGCAAUGGACUGAAGAAGGUUGUCAAAAGGGUAGAAACAAGAAAGGAAUGAGCACAAAAAGCUGACUCAACUAGAAGAGGACUAGUAUUCUUAUUGCACACCCAAUUAUAUCAAGGCUCAAUGAGGAUAGAACAAUGAGCAUGUAAAUGAAGGAUAAUCUUUUUUAAAUGAGAAGAGAGAGGAGGGAUUGUUAGAGGAACUACUAGGAAGAAACAAGGGCCUC
rnacentral:lncRNA from 1 species